GAUGAACGCUAGCUACAGGCUUAACACAUGCAAGUCGAGGGGAAACGACAUCGAAAGCUUGCUUUUGAUGGGCGUCGACCGGCGCACGGGUGAGUAACGCGUAUCCAACCUGCCCAUCACUUGGGAAUAACCUUGCGAAAGUAAGACUAAUACCCAAUGACAUCCCACGAAGACAUCUGAAUGGGAUUAAAGAUUUAUCGGUGAUGGAUGGGGAUGCGUCUGAUUAGCUUGUUGGCGGGGUAACGGCCCACCAAGGCAACGAUCAGUAGGGGUUCUGAGAGGAAGGUCCCCCACAGUGGAACUGAGACACGGUCCAAACGCCUACGGGAGGCAGCAGUGAGGAAUAUUGGUCAAUGGGCGAGAGCCUGAACCAGCCAAGUAGCGUGCAGGAUGACGGCCCUAUGGGUUGUAAACUGCUUUUAUAAGGGAAUAAAGUGGGUCUCGUGAGACUUUUUGCAUGUACCUUAUGAAUAAGGACCGGCUAAUUACGUG
rnacentral:rRNA from 1 species